GACGAACGCUGGCGGCGUGCUUAACACAUGCAAGUCGAACGGAAAGGCCUGCUUUCCCUUGUGGAUUGCGGGUACUCGAGUGGCGAACGGGUGAGUAACACGUGAGUGAUCUGCCCCCGACUUGGGUAUAAGCCUGGGAAACUGGGUCUAAUUCCCGAUAGGACUGCAGGGUGGUGCCUGUGGUGGAAAACGAUUUUCUAGUGGUUGGGGAUGAGCUCGCGGCCUAUCAGCUUGUUGGUGGGGUAAUGGCCUACCAAGGCGGCGACGGGUAGCCGGCCUGAGAGGGUGGACGGCCACAUUGGGACUGAGAUACGGCCCAGACUCCUACGGGAGGCAGCAGUGGGGAAUAGUGCACAAUGGGCGGAAGCCUGAUGCAGCGACGCCGCGUGGGGGAUGACGGCCUUCGGGUUGUAAACUCCUUUCGACCGCGAGGAAGCCACCUGGUUGGAAGGGUGGUGACGGUAGUGGUAGAAGAAGCACCGGCUAACUACGUG
rnacentral:rRNA from 1 species